GACAGAGGGUGCUAGCGUUGUUCGGAAUUACUGGGCGUAAAGGGCGCGUAGGCGGUCUGUUAAGUUCGGUGUGAAAUCCCCUGGCUCAACUGGGGAACUGCGCUGGAAACUGGCAGACUCGAGUACCGGAGAGGAGAGUGGAAUUCCUGGUGUAGCGGUGAAAUGCGUAGAUAUCUAGAGGAACACCAGAGGCGAAAGCGAAUCACUGGACAGAACCUGACGCUGAGGCACGAAAGCUAGGGGAGCAAACGGG
rnacentral:rRNA from 1 species